rnacentral:miRNA from 14 species
UGUAAUGUGUCUCUUGUGUUAAGGUGCAUCUAGUGCUGUUAGUGAAGCAGCUUAUAAUCUACUGCCCUAAAUGCCCCUUCUCGCACAGGCUACUGCUUACUCCGCAUUU